rnacentral:rRNA from 1 species
GACGAACGCUGGCGGCGUGCUUAACACAUGCAAGUCGAACGGAAAGGCCCUGCUUUUGUGGGGUGCUCGAGUGGCGAACGGGUGAGUAACACGUGAGUAACCUGCCCUUGACUUUGGGAUAACUUCAGGAAACUGGGGCUAAUACCGGAUAGGAGCUCCUGCUGCAUGGUGGGGGAUGGAAAGUGUCGGCGGUUGGGGAUAGACUCGCGGCUUAUCAGCUUGUUGGGGGGGUAGUGGCUUACCAAGGCUUUGACGGGUAGCCGGCCUGAGAGGGUGACCGGCCACAUUGGGACUGCGGUACGGCCCAGUCUCCUACGGGCGGCAGCAGUGGAAAGUAUUGCACAAUGGGCGGAAGCCUGAUGCGGCAGCGCCGCGUGCGGGAUGCCGGCCUUCGGGUUGUGAACCGCUUUCGCCUGUGCCGAAGCGUGAGUGACGGUAAUGGGUAAGGAAGCACCGGCUAACUACGUG